rnacentral:lncRNA from 1 species
UCCGUUUUGGAUGAUGUUUACGGAUAACAGACCAUGGCAUGCCGCAGGUCUGAUGUACUUGGCCUUGAAUGGCAAUGCAAGUUGAGUAGGCUUACUGGAAUGGCAAUGCACUUUUGUUUAGAAUUUAACUCCUUUCACUAAUGCCCCUCUGAUUUUCUUCUGUUGCAGGUGCAGUUGCCUUUAAGCAUACAUGGAUGAAUUUCCUCUUUGAGAUGCUCCUCAUGGCUUGUGGCUUCGUUCUCAUAACAUGCUUUUGUCACAUUACACGACUUCCAUAGGAUGCAGAAUGUUUGUAUUGAUCUUCUACUGUUGCUCACAUGUUAUUCAUAUGGUUGCCCACAUGUUUUUCAUAUUGUUGCUUUUAUGUUCUCUAUGAGUGUAGGCAAAUUGUCAUUGCGUAUGUCUGUAAGGUUUUGAACUGGUUUUGGACAGGUUAAAACAUCUUAUACAGGUGGAUCCACAACUUAACGG